AAGGACACACACACCAUUUUGUGGUUCACCUCAGAUGCCAAAAUACCUUGGGCUGGCCCUGGGAAUUUGUGUUACAGUUAAAUAAUAUACUGGAACCAAGCCCCAUGUUUUCUAGCUAGUGGAAGCCCCGCCUUUGCAAUAUUCUCUCAUUUCAAGGAAGAACAAAACAUCUUUCGGCAGUAUCCAUCUUUCACAUCUCCAGGGUGUUCUAUGAAUUUUCUCUUGGAAUUUGAAUACUUUUGUUUCUAUAGCAGCAUUUUAGCAUUACUGGUUUACUUCUGUCUCCUUCAUAAUCACCAAGGAAUUUGAUGUUAAUAUUUGUAUUUGUAUCUCUGUUUUAUCUCUGCUUAGUUCCCAGUUGACACACUGAUAAUCAAAACUGUUAAGGUACUUCCACAGUAGAUAGAAAGUGGAAGCUUGGUACAGAUGUAUUCCAACAGAUUGAUCCUGAUUGCUAGAAAACACCUGAGAACCAGAUACUUUACUCCCUCAAAACUUAAAAUAAGAAGUCUGAAUCAUAACAGUGCCAGUGGUCAAAAUGGAACAAGCCAAAUCACAGAUAGGAUGACAUGUUGCUCUGUGGCAGCAGUUCUCAAACUUCUUUUCCUUGAAAAAUCCUGAGGGUCAAUUAAACUUUUAAAACUAGUUUUGUUCUAUAAAUCAACUCAGAUUCAACUCUUUAACUGAAGAACAGUUCUAUUCUGAACAGCUUUGUUCAACAUUUGCAGGAGUUUCAUUUUUUAAAGCACUGCUCUGCAUGCGUCUCCAGUUGUUAAAAUAAGCUGCAAAGUUGCUUGUGGAGCAGUGUGUUUGCAACACUAUGGCUAUGGAUAUGAAAAUCUGUGUGUGUGUGUGCACGUGCGUGUGCAUGCACGCUCCCACAAUACCCUACUUCAGAUCCUGGAAAAAGGGGACUGGUAUAUUUGCUUUUGUAGUACUCUGGAGUCAGUAUUGUGUUCUCUCAGAGCUUUUUCUGUUUGUAUGUAGUUUAAGAGUUUCAUUAAUUAAAAAAACAUACAAAUAAAAAUACCCUGAUACAAUUUCUAUGCAAUUUUAUGACUCCAUAGCAUAAUCUCUGAUAGAGGAAAUAGCCCUGGCUUUUCAUUCAGAAGUAUAUUUUUUGAUAUGAGCUAGGCAGUACUGGGCUCAAUUUAUUAUUUUAAAACCUGAUCAUUUGUAAAUAUUGCAAACUAUAAACAAUAUUUUAGAUUCACCCUCUUCUUUAAUGCAGCCUUAGAUCUCCCAAUUUCAGUUCUCCGUUACUAACACCUAGGCAUUUUCCUGAUGGGAUAUGCUAAGAAUUGCACACGAAUACAUUUUUGCUUUUUGUUGCCUUGUACUUUUCUCAAUUCAUCUCCAUAGCAUCCUUGGAAAGAAUAGGAAUGAGGGGGUGAUAAAAGUUGCAUAUUGCAUUAAUUUAGCACUAUUCAGAGAAAUGUGCCAGGGACAAGAAUUUGAAGGUGCACGAGCAGACAUGGCUAGAGCCAAGAGUAGUUGUUAGUCUCUAUUUCCUCUCAGCCAGGGGUGCCAACUUGAAUAAAAUAUGGGGUGUGUGUGUUAAGCUGCACAACUUAUAAUUGAUCAUAUGAUGUGAUGCAUGCACACCAUCGGAAUGGCAAUGCUUAUCAGCUUUGGGGGCAGCCCCCUCAAAUAUUUUAUUGGGGGGGCUGAAGACCCCUCAGCCCCUAGGAGUUGGCUCCUAUGCACUCAGCUCACUUUUUUCAUAAUGCCUGGACCAAACAGACAGUAUAAUAGAGGCAACCCCCCUAUUUGGAUUAAGUAAGAGUAGUGGGUAGACAUAUUUCCUACUGUUGCAAGAGUGUCUUUUUCCCCCUUCCCAGGUGGCAUUCCAUUGGGCAUCUGAAAAGAAGGCAUGUGCCAAUAUGUGUGUGUUCUUGUAGCUGGCCCUUUGCCACAAUUGAGUGAUGGCAGCCAAUUCAGCUUUUUUAGGGGGGCUCUGUUUGUUGGGGACUGGAAGUCUCAUUCAGGCUAAUUUUGAAAGGCCUUGUGCUGGAAGAUGGAGAAGACUCUACACACAGUACUAGCUGUGAUGAGCUUCUACAGUUCAAAUGCUCCCAGCAGUUCUAAUUCCUUGAUGCAAUAUUGUGAGGAUGGGUGAAAGUUAGGUGAUUUUGUUCAGGGAAGCAUGCAGGCAUGGAAAUGCUGACUCUCAGUGAUCUUCCAUUCAUUUAGGGUGAAAUAAGAGUAGUUUUGUAUUAAAUUAUGCACAACUAGGCUGUAUGCAGAAAUAGUGAUGGGAUGAAUCACUUAAGCAUGUUUGUGCUAAUUACUGCUUAGCCUUUAUGGUGACAAAAAAACACAAUAGUAGCCUUCUCAGUCUGCAGGAAACUCUUCAGACAAACCCUUUGCAACGUUGCAGAAGUCUUCCAUGAAUCAAAUUAGCUUUGGUUUGUGAAUGUUAAAAGAACCACUGUUUUAGUUUUAGCUGUCUCUCCUCCAAAACAUCCUAACCUGAAACAGACAAAUGCUCAUCGUCACUAGAAAAAGGACAGGAAUUAUUUCCAUUAGAAAACAAACAGGAACUUUUACUACUACCAGUGGACUGUUUUAAGUUGAUCGUUAUGUUGUACAGGUCAACUGAAAUACCACGGUAUUAGUGCAGCACAAUCAAAAGACCCUUGCUCCCAGAUUUGAAGUCUUUGCUUGUCACAUUAUGACAUAAUAUUUACAAAAAGCAGAAUGGGCAAGUACCAGCUUGAAAGCUACACAUUUUCCUUCAGAUGUGUUUUGUGUGUUUCUCAUCAGGGUUUUGUUUUAAACAGAUCACAUGGCCCACAGUUUACCCUGCUGUAUGCUUGUCCAUUUAACAGCUUAUGUUUUGACUAUUGUUCUGAAUGGUAUGUAAGUAGUUAUGUUGGAUUUCUGUAAAAGUGAUUAGAAAAGGAGAUCUAGGACAAACUUGGUCAACUUUUGUAAAGGCUGCCUACUUUUUGACAAGGUGAAUUAGUGCAGCUUUCCUCUCUUCAUGCUUGAUUGCUACAAAGCCCUCCAUUCACUGGACCCCUGUAGGUAAUCUAGUGCCACCUUCAUUUUCACUACUUCCAAAAUCAAUGCUUCUUGGUGGGGGGAAAACUGUUGUCUGAAUUCAUCCCUCACACCAAGGGAUCAGAGCCUGCUAUAAUAGGUAAUUUGAUCAUGAAACUUGCUGUGGUAAACAAGUGCUUAGAAUGGAGUAUGUUGGCUACUUGAACAUCAUAAAAGAUGACAUUUUCAAUCCUUCCCUGAGGUUGCCACCUUAGUAGACCUUGGCAGUUAAGGCUGCCAGCAUUUAAUUUCACUCUUGAUUUGAGUUCAGGCUGUUUUGUUUUCACAAAUGUGUUAUCUGCCUGCUCUAAGACUAAAGUAUUAGGAUGAUGGUGGGGGGGAGAGAAAAAAAAUCGGGGCAUGAGACAAUAAGGUACGUCUCUAAAAAGAUCAGGUUGCCAACUAAUUGAAAUGCUUUUCUAAUACUCUUUAAUGUGUUAAGACAUCUUGAACUUGAAGAAAUCUUUGCCAGGAGGAAGACAUAAUAUAUCCUGAAUAUUUCAGAGAAAUAGCAUUAAGUUAACACCACUAUGUAUAAAUUACAUUUAACACACAGGUUUUUGGGCAUUAACAUACAUGCAUAAUAAUAGGGAAUAAAAAUUGCACUCACAUGUCACGGGGAUCUUAAAAACAUUGAUUAUUACUUCCAAGUAAACAUUGUUAUGAACAAUAGCGACGCUAUAAUCAUCCAAAUACACAAGUGUAUUCUACCCAAGUCAUUUACGAUUUUAAAGGUGAUAAUUGCAUUUCAAAUUGCAUAUAGAAACAGACUGGAAGCCAAUGAAUUAUUUUGUCACUAGCAUCAGAAGGUUAUGAAUCUACUAUUUCCUAAUACUACUUGCUACAGUUGAUGUCUGGUUUUCAUUUGAAAAUGUUGUGCUCUAACUUUUGAAUACUGUUCUGGUCAAAACACACACACAUACAGAGAGAGAGAGAGAGAGAGAGAGAGAGAGAGAGAGAGAGAGAGGCAGGCAGAAAUCUUGAGCUAAUUUAUCAGAAUACAUUGGGUUUGAGUUGGACUGUGUGGUUUCUGCUGAAACAUGAUGCUGUCUUACACUGAGUCAGGUCCCUGGUCUGUUUAGCUUAGUAUUGUCUACACUGACUGGUAGCAACUGUCCAGGAUUUCAGACUGGAGCAUUUUCCAACCCUGCCCUUUUAACAAAAAAAUAGGUAUUAUGAAUCUGUGUUGUUUUUAAUUCAAGUUGAUCAGAGACCUUUGAGUAACUUAACCACUUGUUGUUGUUGUUUAGUCGUUUAGUCAUGUCCGACUCUUCAUGACCCCAUGGACCAGAGCACGCCAGGCACGCCUGUCUUCCACUGCCUCCCGCAGUUUGGUCAGACUCAUGCUGGUAGCUUCGAGAACACUAUCCAACCAUCUUGUCCUCUGUCGUCCCCUUCUCCUUGUGCCCUCAAUCUUUCCCAACACCAGGGUCUUUUCCAGGGAGUCUUCUCUUCUCAUGAAGUGGCCAAAGUAUUGGAGCCUCAGCUUCAGGAUCUGUCCUUCCAGUGAGCACUCAGGGCUGAUUUCCUUAAGAAUGGAUAGGUUUGAUCUUAACCACUAACAAUCCCAAAAACUUAACCACUAACAACCCCAAAAAACACCACCACCACCAUAUACCUGGAGAUGCUGGGAUUUGAAACUGAGAUGUCCUGCAUGCAAAGCAGAUAGUCUACCACUAAGCUAUGAGCCUAUGCUGGAUUUAGCCUUAAACAUUCAGAAUGACAGAAGGCUCUGCUUUGGGACAUGAAAGGUCCCACUUAGCCAGGGCAGGAACACCAUUAUUUUCAUUCAACGUGCCUUGAUGUUUUUCACUUUCACCCUGUAAAGUACAUCUUGCUCUGGCUGCAGUGGUAGCACAGUGAAUCCUUGGUUUUCUUGAAGAGUACAUUUCCAAUACCACCUGGAAUCAAGUUUUAUUAAUCCUUCCUCACCUACCAUCCAAUAUGGUUAUGAGAAGUAAUUAGUUAAUGUUUGUACAGCACUUUGAAGCUGUAAUGCCCUAUUAGGUUCUAGUCUGUGCCUGAUGCACGAGCAGAGCUCCCAUUAAUGUUAAUGGAGGUUACAGGCGCUUCUCAAGCGGAGAAUAUCUGUGUGGAGAAUAAUUAUACUUAUUAGCACAUUUCACAAUAUUAUUUGAUCAGACUUUUGUAAUUUAACUUAAUUGUUUUUCCUUAAAUAUAACUUACUGAAAUUAAACUUAUGGUUAAUUCUGAAUCGUCUAACAUGCAAGAUGCAACCUGCCUGGUAAACUCACAGCGAGGAAGGGAAAAAACCUCAUCCUCCCCCUCCCCCUGAGUCUUCAUGUUUUCAUUGUGCUACUUUUCUGUCCAGAGAAUUGUGCGUUUCCAGAUUAUGCAACCGGCAGGAUACCUUUCUGGCUAAGAAAGCAGGCGUGCAACACCUAGUCCAAAUCAUAUUUGAUUACCACUAAUUAUAGUGCUGUCAUAUAGAAGGGGAGAGCAAGACGGCUGGCUUUGUCAAAUCACAAUGAAAUAACCUGCUGUCUGUCUGCUGACUUAAUAGCUUUAAUUGCCAGUGAAUAAUCAAGAUCUGGUGGAUGUGUUUGAACAUAUCAGCAGGCACCAAAUAUUUCAAUUAAGACCAGGUUGUGUAACUCCUUUUUCUGUGGUUGGAACAGUUCAGAAGAAGUUCUGAAGCUCACAAAGGAGGAACUUGUGAUAGCCGGCUGGGCCUUGAAGGUUUUCUCAUCAAAGCAACAUUCUCUAGGCUAAGCAAUAUUCAGGGAUAUUUUUAAGAUCGGCAAAUCUUGACGCCAGGACCCUUACCUUAGUCCUGUUAGCAUUGCCCACCCCUACUAAUCACAAGGGUGAGAUUUGUGUCUUCCACUUGAUUUUACAUAUUUCGUUGCACAGUUUCAACUCCCAUUAGUCCCCCAUGAAACAAAAUGGAAGAGGUUUAAGCAUAAUUACAACUUGGAACAAAAAAUGUUGGCUGUCUCACCAGAAUUACUGAAAAUUAAAUGUGGCUCUAAAGAGGAGGAUGGUUGUCAGAAAGCCCAACUGACAAUCUUGUGGGGCAACCUUGUUUCCAUUAGGUAACCCCAAUGAAAAAUAUUUGUUUGGUGUAGUGGUAAGAGUGUUGGACCAGGCCUGGGAGAGCAGGGUUCAGAUCCCCAUUGGGCCAUGAAGCUCACUGGGUGACUUUGGGCUAGUCACUAUCUCUCAGCCUAAACUACCUCACAGGGUAGUAAAUAGCAUGGAGGAGUGUGUGCACACCACCUUCAAAUACAAUAAUAAUAUGGGGGGGGCACUGGGUUGCACUUGUGUCCAGAUUCAAAUGCCUUUGAGAAACAACUGCACCCCAACAAACCACUAUUUCUUUUCUCCAGGCAGACUUGACAUUAUGUUCCUUACACCACUGCUGAAAAGCAGGAUUUGUCCUUGAAUAUCUAAACUCUCUCCAUCCUGAUCAAAGCUUCUAUCAAAGAACCUCAUUUCAUCUUUGAAGGCAUUUUUUUCUCAGGGGUUUAAUGGCUAUUUGAUCAAGCCAUUACCAGCUACAGAAGACAUAGAGCAUAUUCUUGUGACACAAUCCCCUUGGCCUCCUGUUCUCUUUCUCUCCCAUCCACUCAGGAUAGAUGCAGCAGCUCAUUCAGAUGCACCCCCCACCACCACCAUAGGAAUUUAAAGAACAUCCUCCUUGUGCAAUUCUUUUAUAUUAUAAUUACCUUUCCUC
rnacentral:lncRNA from 1 species